AACUCUCAAGCUAGAUGCUUUAGUGUCAUCUGCUUGGUUAUUGGACUCUGCUGUCUCCUUGUCUGGAACGGCUGGUCUCAAAUGUAUUAGCUGGCUCUUGUUGUGGGAAUUGGUUCUACUCAGCGUGAUAAUCUAUGACCGCUGAGGACAUCUCUCGGGAUGGCCAAGCCUGCCUUGAACUGCUUCUAACUCAUCAUUUCAUGAUAUUUUUCAA
rnacentral:misc_RNA from 1 species